UACAGAGGGUGCAAGCGUUAAUCGGAAUUACUGGGCGUAAAGGGUGCGUAGGUGGUUUAUUAAGUCAGGCGUGAAAUCCCCGGGCUCAACCUGGGAACUGCGCUUGAUACUGAUGAACUUGAGUGUGGUAGAGGAUAGUGGAAUUCCCGGUGUAGCGGUGAAAUGCGUAGAUAUCGGGAGGAACAUCAGUGGCGAAGGCGGCUAUCUGGACCAACACUGACACUGAGGCACGAAAGCGUGGGUAGCAAACAGGAUUAGAAACCCCGGUAGU
rnacentral:rRNA from 1 species